UACAGAGGCUACGAGCGUUAGGCGGAAUCACUGGGCUUAAAGCGUGUGUAGGUGGAUGGGUAAGUACCUUGUGAAAUCCCACGGCUCAACCGUGGAACUGCUUGGUAUACUGCCUGUCUUGAGGCACUCAGGGGCGAGCGGAACAGAUGGUGGAGCGGUGAAAUGCGUAGAUAUCAUCUGGAACGCCAAUGGUGAAGACAGCUCGCUGGGGGUGUACUGACACUGAGACACGAAAGCCAGGGGAGCAAACGGG
rnacentral:rRNA from 1 species